rnacentral:lncRNA from 1 species
UUCCCGCUCCGCCAGCUGCCGCCCUCCCGCGCUCGCUUCUCGCCCCGCGGCCUGGCCCGUGCGCCUCCGAGGCUGGCCAGGGGCACCGAGGCCGCGGGCCCCCCAUCGCCCCCACCCGAGCCCUGAUUUACCGUCCGAGAGCCGGCGGCACAUGGGACCCCGAGAGGAGAAGCGCGCCUGCCCCAGUGCGUCCCCAGGCGGGGGAGCCCCGACUCCUGGAGGGACCGCGUCCUGCCCGGCCCGGGAAGUUCAGGGCUGGAGAACCCCUUCCCCGACCCCAUUUCUCUUUUAACAAGAGUAGGGUUUGUAGCUAACCAACGUCCUGACAGCUCAGCUCUGCUUUCCCUUUAAGCAUUAAUAUCAAAGCCCUGCCUGCUACCGGUGAAGCCCCGACCCGGGAGGGCCCGAAAGUCCCUUCAGGGAGAGGCCGCACUGGGCCUGCUCACCCAGGGGCUGCCCCUGCAGACUCUCCCGAGGGGCCCAGGGAUAUUCCUCGCGCCGCGAGUGGACGCUUCCAUCCACCCCAUGGGGAGGGCCUCUGCGCGUGGCUACUCUGAGCCCUCUGGAAUGCCGAGAUAGUUGCAUAAUUUCAGAAACCACGGCAUGGAGACGGAAUGAUGCAGACUCCUAUCCGCGAGAUACCUGCUGUAAUUUCGCUGUGGUUCGUGAGGACGCGUCCUGGGCUGCCCUGAGAAGCCUACGUCUCCCCUUCGAGGCCCGGGAAGACCUCCAACCCCGCUGACAAUGCUGGGCCCUCAGCCAGACCUGCCCUGCGUGCCACGUUCUGUUCUAAGAUCGGGCUGCCGAGCUGUGGCCUGGAGGAAACCUGGCAGGUGUCACCAGAGCUUUGGGGAGGGUGAGGCCCUGUCGGGGAAGCCCAGUGGGAGUCAUGAAGGAGGGAACACGUGUGGAGCCCUUGUAGGGGGAGGGGCAGCCCUGCAGAGAUCUAAGAAAAAAUUCCAGAAAAAUGAGCAGCAACCUCCAAGGCCAGGCAUCGGUGCAGGGGACAAGGGGUCGUAGCUGGAGGGGCCUAGGUGAGGCUGCCGGGAAGGGACGAUGUGGUUGGUGGAGUGCACAGGCAGGGACCUCACUGGACUUUCCUGUCUGCUCAGCAUGGACAGGCAGCCCAGGAGAAGGCAGCACGUGGCCGGGUGCAGGGACGUACCACCCCCACUUCCCCAGGGGAGCUGGGGUCAGACGAGUCCCAGGCACUCCAUCCUCUGCAGCAAGUCAGGUGGGGCUGCCAUGAGCAGCAAGCUCAGUCCAGAAGAACAGUUCCUCUCCAGGAUCCACUUCCUGCGCACUUUUAUGUGCAGUGUAGCUGGAGCAGAGCUCCCCGGAAUUCCACAGGCAACUGAGAACGGAGAGGGAUGCAGGCCAGCCAGGGAUCCAGCGUCUUCCCCAUCGUCACUCUCCAUGGCCUCCGUCUACACACAGUGUUCGUCUGCACAGCUUGUCAGCGCGUUAUCAUGACUUCUAUUUGGCACCGGCCCGUCUGUCCACUGUCCUGGCUUGUUCCAAGCGCUGCCUUCUCCAACUGGGGUCCUGGCUGCAGAGCUGUCUGCUCCCCACGUUGGGCAACUCCAGCCAAGAUUCCUACACCCAAAUGUGACCGUGUUGCUCACGAAGAAGGCUCAGCUUUGCGUGUGCCCAGCCGUGUGCACAGCUCGUCCCAACUCCUGCGGGUGGCACCUGCCUCUCCCACCUCCAGUCUUUCCCCUGUGAUGAGCAGAUGACCACCGCCCUCCAGGGUCAGCGUUUGGCUGUUUGUGUGCCUGCCCACCCGCCUCCCUGUGCCUGGGCCUGCCCUGUGCCUGCACACAGGAGUGGCUCAUGGCGUUUGCCCUACACGGAUGGGCUGUCCUGGGAGCUACUGGACAGUCACCUUGGUGGGAAUGCCAGAGGCAUGGGCAUUAGGUCCCCCCGGCCAGCCUCCGUUGCCACAUGGGCUAUUUUUGUCCAUCGCGUGGGACAACCUAGUAUUGGGGGAAAACUCAGUCCACUCUAAAGAAGCAUCGGCGUUUUGGAUGGACGAAUGCUGCUUCAUGCGACUCCAUGUCAAUGGACUAUUUUAUUCAACUCGGGUAUUUAUGAGUGUCUCCUCUGUGCCAGCCACGUGUGAAAGAAGAACUCCAAGUUACUGGACACCAGGACAAACCAGGUAGAUCACUGCAUCCGGUUCCUCCUCUUUCUGCCGACUCUCCCGGGCAACCGUUCUGAUUCCUGGCAUGGAGUUGGGGGCGAGCUCAUCAGUACCCAGAGCGCCUGGUGUGCAGCCAAAGGCCCCCAUUUUAUUAGUCGGUGUGUUCAGUAUCACGCUCAAGACAAGGGCCAACCUAUUACUUCACACACCUCAAAUACAAAAAGUGCCUGGGAACGUCGAUGAGGUAUUAAAGGAAACCACUGGUCUUGUCAGUCAUGUACACACAGAAAAAAAAACCAGUCAUUUUUAUUUUUAUUUUUUGAGACAGAGUUUCGCUCUUGUUGCCCAGGCUGGAGUGCAAUGGUGCAAUUUCAGCUCACUGCAAUCUCUGCCACCCGGAUUCAAGCAAUUCUCCUGUCUCAGCCUCCCGAGUAGCUGGAAUUGCAGACACCCAUCACCACGCCCAGCUAAUUUUAUGUAUUUUUAGUAGAGAUGGGGUUUCACCAUGUUGGUCAGGCUGGUCUUGAACUCCUGACCUCAGGUGAUCCACCCACGUCAGGCUCCCAAAGUGCUGAGAUUACAGGCAUGAACCACUGUGCCCAGCCGAAAACAACCAAGAAUUUUUUAACAAUAAAAUGACCAGCAAGUAAACUUGAAACAAAAAUGGACAAAUAUCUAAAAUAUUUUUAAAUGUAUGUAUUUUAAUUGGCAAAUAAUACUUGUAUAUAUUGUUUACAACUUGUUUUAAAGUAUGAAUACAUUGUGGAAUGGCUAAAUCAAGUUAAUUAACAUGCAUUAACUCA